rnacentral:rRNA from 1 species
AAUAAAUUUUAAUUAUUUGUUUUUGUUUUUUUUUAUAAAAAUAUUUAAAUUUAAAGUAUUUUUUAGAAAUAAAAAUUAUUUUUAAACUGAUUAGGAUAUUUUAUUAUAUAUAUAAAAUAAUUACUUAUUACCUUUUGUAUCAGGGUUUAUUUAAAUAAUAAAUUAUUUUUAUUUCCCGAAAUGAAUAAGAUUAAAGUUUAUAUUAUUAAAAAUGUUUUAUAAUUUUAUUUAAUUUAAUUUUGGUAGUAAUAAGUUAUUCGAUUUUCAUUAUAUCUGGUUAUUUAGGAAAUAAUUUAAUUAUAUACAUUUGUGUAAAAUUAGUUUUUUUAAAAAUGUAUUAUUUUAUUGAGGAUAAUCUUAAUAUAAAUUUUAUAAUUCUAUAAAUUAUAAAUUUUUUUAAAAAUUUAAAUCUUUUAUUAAAGUUCUUAAUAGAUUAGAAUUUUUAUAUAAUUUUUUAUUAAAUUUAUUAUUUAACUAAUAUUUUUUUAAAUAAUUUUAAUUUAUUAUUAAUAAUUAUAAAAUUAGUAUAAUAUUUAUAUAUUAAUAUAUGAAUUCGACAAAUUUAAUUUUCAACUGUUUAUCAAAAACAUUUCUUUUAGUAAAAUUUUUAAAGGUAGUUCCUGCCCUAUGAUUAUUUAAAUGGCUGCAGUAUUUUGACUGUGCAAAGGUAGCAUAAUAAUUAGUUUUUUAAUUGAAAACUGGUAUGAAUGGAUUUAUGAAAAAUUUAUUUUAUUAUUAAUAUAGAUUAUAAUUUUAUUUUUAAGUAAAAAAGCUUAAUUAUUUUAUUGGGACGAGAAGACCCUAUAGAACUUUAAUUUUUGUUUAAAAUAAUUUUUUAAGUUUAUUAAAGAAUUUUAAUAAUCAUAAUAUUUUAGUUGGGGUGAUUAAUAAAUGAAAUACUUUAUUUUAUAGUAUCAAAAAUAUUUGAUUAACUGAUCCAAUUUUUUUUGAUUAAAAGAUUAGUUACCUUAGGGAUAACAGCGUAAUUUUAAUGGGGAGUUCAUAUUUAUAUUAAAUUUUGCGACCUCGAUGUUGAAUUAAGAUAAGAUUAAGGGGUAGGUUCUUUAUUUUCUAAGUCUGUUCGACUUUUAAAUUCUUACAUGAUUUGAGUUCAAACCGGUGAGAGCCAGGUUGGUUUCUAUCUAAUAUAAUGUAUUCUUAUUUAGUACGAAAGGACCAUUAAGAACAAUUUUAUUGUAAAUAUUUCAAUUAAUAUUGAUUUGGCAGAUAAGUGUAUUAAAUUUAGAAUUUAAUUAUGUAAAUUUAGUUUACAUUCAAUAAUUUAUUUAUUAACAAGUUUAAUUUUGUUAAUUAU